CAGAAAUCUACCAUAUGGAAACAAAAUGGUUGUGUAAUAUUCCACCAUAUGACUAUACUAUAAUUUACUUAGUUCCCUAGUGAUGUAUCUUAAGGUCACAUCUCAUUUGUAGUUAUGAAAGAAACUGUGGUGAGCAUUCUCAGACUUAAAUUUUUGUGGGCAUCUUGUUCUUGCCCCAGUUUCCUCAUCCAUAAACUUGGUGUAAUAGUGUUAUCUACAUCUUAGGGUGUUAAAGUGAACAUAUAAGUUAAUAAGUGAAUGUAUUCAAAGCACUUAAAACAGUGUCUGACCCUCCGAAAGCACAAUCUGUGUUUGGUCUUAUUGGACUCAAUUCCUAGAACUGCUUUAAUCUUUCAGGUUAACUGUUUGGCGUGGAAAUACUGGGAGGUUUCCAGGUCCUCUAUGCCACCCUUCCUCUUGGCUGCACUUCCGGCUCGCUACCUGGCUUCUCUCCCAGCAUCUCAGUGUGUGCCCUUCCUGAUCAGCCUGGGGAAGAGUCAGUUGGACUCCUUGGUUUUGGAUUCCCACAAAAAAAAUUCCGUCCUCAAGAAAGUGCAGCAGUGCCUGAGCUACAUCAUUGCUGACGAGUACACCGUGGACAUCCUGGGGAACUUGCUCUGUCACCUGCCAGCAGCUGUCAUCCGCCACGGGUUGUCCCCCAGAGCCUGGGCCACCGCCCUGCGUGGUCUCAGAGACUGCCUGGACCUCAGCCCCCAGCAGAAGGCGGCGGUGAGGCUGAGGCUUCUGAAACAGCAUGGACUCCCCCAGCACUGGACAGCCGAGACAGUGAAGGAUUUGGGAUCCUUUCUAGCGCUUUUCUCAGGAGAUGAAUUAAGCUCUGUUGCCACAAAGGUACCUCAAUGUUCUAUCUUAGAGAAGGCUGAAGGAGUUUGAAGAAGAGAAAAAUGUGAUUAGUUAUAUUCCCUUGGGUUUGCUGUCAGUUUGUCUUUCUGGAAACCUCUUCCCUGCCUCCUAGAGCUCGGAUGUUUCCAGCUCCACUUCAGGAUGCCCAAGGUUCAGGGAAAGGCAGUGAGGCAGCAGCUAAAGGAACUCUGAG
rnacentral:lncRNA from 1 species